GCCGAUGUGGCGGAACUGGCAGACGCGCACGACUCAAAAUCGUGUUGGGGUAGCCCCCCAUGUGGGUUCGACUCCCACCAUCGGCA
rnacentral:tRNA from 1 species